GACGAACGCUGGCGGCGUGCCUAAUACAUGCAAGUCGAACGGACAGGCCCUGCGUUUGUUGCGCGGUCGAUUGGCGAACAGGUGUGUAAAACGUGUGGAACCCCUCCCUAUAUUUCGGGUAAAUUCUCGGAAAUGCGGCUAAAAUCCCGUAUAAUCUACUGCUGCACAGGGUGGGGUGGUGAAAUUCGGUGGUUGUGGCUCGUCUCGCGGGUUCUCCGCCUGUUGGGGGGGUAGGGGCUUUCCAAGGUUUUGAAGGGUAGGCGGCCUGGGAGGGUUACCGGCCACAUUGGGACUGAGAUACGGCGCAGACUCCUACGGGAGGCAGCAGUGGGGAAUAUUGCACAAUGGGCGGAAGCCUGAUGCAGCAACGCCGCGUGCGGGAUGACGGCCUUCGGGUUGUAAACCGCUUUCGCCUGUGACGAAGCGUGAGUGACGGUAAUGGGUAAAGAAGCACCGGCUAACUACGUG
rnacentral:rRNA from 1 species